rnacentral:rRNA from 1 species
GACGAACGCUGGCGGCGUGCUUAACACAUGCAAGUCGAACGGAAAGGCCCUGCUUGCAGGGUACUCGAGUGGCGAACGGGUGAGUAACACGUGGGUGAUCUGCCCUGCACUUCGGGAUAAGCCUGGGAAACUGGGUCUAAUACCGGAUAGGAGCCAUUUUUAGUGUGAUGGUUGGAAAGUUUUUUCGGUGUAGGAUGAGCUCGCGGCCUAUCAGCUUGUUGGUGGGGUAAUGGCCUACCAAGGCGGCGACGGGUAGCCGGCCUGAGAGGGUGGACGGCCACAUUGGGACUGAGAUACGGCCCAGACUCCUACGGGAGGCAGCAGUGGGGAAUAUUGCACAAUGGGCUCAAGCCUGAUGCAGCGACGCCGCGUGGGGGAUGACGGCCUUCGGGUUGUAAACUCCUUUCGCUAGGGACGAAGCUUUUUGUGACGGUACCUAGAGAAGAAGCACCGGCUAACUACGUG